rnacentral:rRNA from 1 species
AUUGAACGCUGGCGGCAUGCUUUACACAUGCAAGUCGAACGGUAACAGGCCUUCGGGUGCUGACGAGUGGCGAACGGGUGAGUAAUGCAUCGGAACGUGCCCAAUCGUGGGGGAUAACGUAGCGAAAGUUACGCUAAUACCGCAUAAGCCCUGAGGGGGAAAGCAGGGGAUCGCAAGGCCUUGCGCGAAUGGAGCGGCCGAUGUCAGAUUAGCUAGUUGGUGGGGUAAAGGCCUACCAAGGCGACGAUCUGUAGCGGGUCUGAGAGGAUGAUCCGCCACACUGGGACUGAGACACGGCCCAGACUCCUACGGGAGGCAGCAGUGGGGAAUUUUGGACAAUGGGCGCAAGCCUGAUCCAGCCAUGCCGCGUGCGGGACGAAGGCCUUCGGUUGUAAACCGCUUCUAGCCGGAAGAAAUCGCCAAGGCUAAUAUCCUUGGUGGAUGACGGUACCGGAAGAAGAAGCACCGGCUAACUACGUGCCAGCAGCCGCGGUAAAGU